AAAAAACAACCUAAAACGAGUCAAAAUUUUAAUUUCAAAUUUCAUCCACAAGGGGUCAGCAUCACACUCUUCAUGUGUGAUUAUAUCAUGUGAUUAAAACAUUUAAAGUAGAGCUCUGUGAGAGAAGCACAGGGUUUUUGAGAGCUCAGCUCUUUCUGCUCUUUUACCUCACAGAACAACGAUGUUUAAAUGGGCUUUGAUUUCUCUGUGUCUCACAGCAGCUCAUUAUGAUGUGUCUUUGGGACAGGACAGAGUUGAACAGUCUUCAAGAGAAAUGACUGCAAGUGAAGGAGAUCAAGUUAUUUUAAGGCUCUUGUUCUUGUGUUCAAAACUGUCAUUUCCAACCAAUCACCUGCAUCUGAACCAAAGAUGAAGACACUGAAGACACACCUCUUCUGUGAGCUCUGAACUAAAGCAUUAGCAUCGGAGCACAGAGAACAUGAACAGAACUGUAGAAACAUG